AGAGUUUGAUCCUGGCUCAAGAUGAACGAUGGCGGCGUGCCUAACACAUGCAAGUCAAACGGGUGCGGCGUGCGGCAGGGGUCUCGGCCUCUGCGGCGUCGCGCGAGUGGCGGACGGGUGAGUAACGCGUGGGCAACCUGCCCUGUACUGGGGGAUAACACCUGGAAACAGGUGCUAAUACCGCAUAAGCGCGCUGUGCCGCAUGGCGCGGCGCGGAAAACCCCGGUGGUACAGGAUGGGCCCGCGUCUGAUUAGCUGGUUGGCAGGGUAAUGCCCCACCAAGGCGACGAUCAGUAGCCGGCCUGAGAGGGUGGACGGCCACAUUGGGACUGACACACGGCCCAAACUCCUACGGGAGGCAGCAGUGGGGAAUAUUGCACAAUGGGGGAAACCCUGAUGCACCGACGCCGCGUGAGUGAAGAAGUAAUUCGUUAUGUAAAGCUCUAUCAGCAGGGAAGAAAAUGACGGUACCUGAUUAAGAAGCCCCGGCUAACUACGUGCCAGCAGCCGCGGUAAUACGUAGGGGGCAAGCGUUAUCCGGAUUUACUGGGUGUAAAGGGAGCGUAGACGGCAGUGCAAGUCUGGAGUGAAAGGCGGGGGCUCAACCCCCGGACUGCUCUGGAAACUGUACAGCUGGAGUGC
rnacentral:rRNA from 1 species